AGCGAACGCUGGCGGCAGGCCUAACACAUGCAAGUCGAACGAACCUUUCGGGGUUAGUGGCGGACGGGUGAGUAACACGUGGGAACGUGCCUUUAGGUUCGGAAUAACUCAGGGAAACUUGUGCUAAUACCGAAUGUGCCCUUCGGGGGAAAGAUUAAUCGCCUUUAGAUCGGCCCGCGUCUGAUUAGCUCGUUGGUUGAGGUAAUGGCUCACCAAGGCGACGAUCAGUAGCUGGUCUGAGAGGAGGAGCAGCGACAUUGGGACUGAGACACGGCCCAAAGUACUACGGGAGGAAGCAGUGGGGAAUCUGGAGGAAUGGGCGAAAGCCUGACGCAGCCAUGCGGCGUGAAUGAUGAAGGAAUUAGGAGUGUAAAGUUCUUUCAACGGGGACGAUAAUGACGGUACCCGGAGAAGAAGCCCCGGCUAACUUCGUG
rnacentral:rRNA from 1 species